GACUGGCCUGUAAGGACUUGGACCAGUGACAUACUUGCUGCAUGUUGCACUGGGCCACCGUGCCACCCUACCAAAAAAUAGGGAGGAGGAUUAGAGGUGGAAGGGAAGGAAAGAUAACUGAGUGGUGCUGAUACCCAGGAUGGGAAGGAGAAGGGGGGCUUGCCACUGUUGAGGAAGUCCAAAGAAGUCACUGCCAUCUCCCAAGAGCCGAACACUGUUACCGACUAUACCAUGAUGGGGAGAAGCAGGGAGCACAAGUGAAUGAGGGCCUCAUAGCCAGGCACCCAUGAGCCAGAGGACCUGUCAGCUUCCAGCUGGGGACGGGGAUUCUAAAGGCAACCACCGAGAGGCUGCCAGUGCUGUUCAGGCAAUGGGACUCUUGAGGUUUUUGAAAGGAACAGUCAGCUCAUCAAAGAACUCCACAAUAAAUCCAGAGAAUCAUGGAAUUGGAGGCAAAUCAAGUCCCACAUGAAAUUAUCUAUGUUGACAAAGCUGACUUCAACUUGGCGAAAAGGCGUCGCCAUGGGAGAAAUGUAGGUAACACUUUACAAUAAGGUUCAUUAGUUAAUGCUUUUGCUAACAUGAACUGAUCAUGAACAAAACAUGUGCAGUAUUAAUUAAUCAUAAUUGAACAUUUACUAAUGCAUUAUUAACAUCCAAGUCCAUGCUUGUUAACAUUAGUCAUUGCAGCAUGAGUUAACAUAAACUAAUGUACUACUGUAUUUUCGUUAACGUUAACUAGCUUGAACAAAUACAGUAGUAAAUGUAUUGUUCAUUGUUUGUUCAUGUUAGUAAAUGCAUUAAUUAACAUUAACUAAUGAACCUUAAUGUAAAGUUUGACCGAAAUGUAAUAGGACAAAGGGCCACAGUUACCAUGUCAGGCCAGAGAAAAAGAAGCCUGGCAAAUGCAGAAGAUUGGGCAGAACAGAAGAUUCCUUUGUUUUUUGUUUUUUUUAUUACAAUUGCAGUGCUUUUUUCUGUGUGUCUAUCUUGCAGUGAUGUCCUUUUGCAAAUAAAGUCUGUUCUGCUGCAA